AAAUCCGCUUUGAUAAUGCUGGGAUGUGAUGGGGAGCGAAAUUUAGUAGCGAAGUAGCUGAUUUCACACUGUCAAGAAAAGUCUCUAUCGAGGUUAAAGGUACCCGUACCGCAAACCGACACAGGUGGGUGAGGAGAGUAUCCUAAGGCCAGCGAGAGAACUGUUGUUAAGGAACUCGGCAAAAUGACCCCGUAACUUAGGGAUAAGGGGUGCCACCAUCAGGUGGCCGCAGAGAAUAGGCCCAAGCGACUGUUUACCAAAAACAUAGGUUUCUGCUAAGUCGCAAGACGAUGUAUAGGAGCUGACGCCUGCCCGGUGCUGGAAGGUUAAGGGGAUCUGUUAGAGCAAUCGAAGCAGUGAACUUAAGCCCCAGUAAACGGCGGCCGUAACUAUAACGGUCCUAAGGUAGCGAAAUUCCUUGUCGGGUAAGUUCCGACCCGCACGAAAGGCGUAACGAUUUGGGCACUGUCCCAACAACAGACUCGGUGAAAUUGUAAUUCCGGUGAAGAUGCCGGAUACCGGCGACAGGACGGAAAGACCCCAUGGAGCUUUACUGUAGCUUGACAUUGGGUCUUGGUACUACAUGUACAGGAUAGGUGGGAGGCUUUGAAACCAGGACGCCAGUUUUGGCGGAGCCAUCCUUGGGAU
rnacentral:rRNA from 1 species